UACAGAGGGUGCGAGCGUUGUCCGGAGUUACUGGGCGUAAAGGGUGCGCAGGCGGCCUGGCGCGUCGCGAGUGAAAUCUCCUGGCUCAACUGGGAGGGUGGUCGCGAGACGGCUGGGCUUGAGGCUCGGUGAGGGGCGUGGAAUUCCGGGUGGAGCGGUGAAAUGCGUAGAGAUCCGGAGGAACACCGACGGCGUAGGCAGCGCCCUAGACGAGACCUGACGCUCAGGCACGAAAGCGCGGGGAGCGAACAGG
rnacentral:rRNA from 1 species